AAUGAAUUACUGACAGGUCUGAUCUCAAUGUACAAUACAAUAAUAUACUUGUAAUUUGCAAAUACACAAUGACCCAAUCCCUAAUCACAUAACUUGUAUCUCCCACGUUGAACACUACACAUCAUCAACCUACAUCUGAAAUCCCAUCAAUAUAUGCAUUUUUUUUAUAUCCAAACUUGCAUAUAUAUAUAUAUAUAUAUCAGCCUGUUCAAGAUAAAGCAAACAGUUUAUGUAUUAUUCAAUUGGAGGCCUUGUAGGGCGCCUUCCUCUAGCAAUACUUUGAAUUAAGGCUUGUCCGACGCCUUCCCCAAGCCCCUCGAUGAGCCCUCCGAUGAAUUCGAUGAUUACCUGAGAGGCAAGCCGAGCUGCAGUUCCCAACAUGCUGGACUUCUCAACGCCCUUAAUGCCGUUGGCUUGAAGGCCAUUGACCAUGUUCUUUGCACAAACUGCGUGCAGAUGGUACUCACAAACCGUGCAACGAUACACUCGGCCUGAUCUCUUGGUCCUAUUGCAUUCUCCGCAUACAAAACCAGGUUCCCCAUUUGGAAAACUCAUGGUCAUGGCAGCUGGGAGGAUUUUUAGUGGGUGUGGAUGCACUGAAAUUUUAAUUUCGUAGGACAGCAUAGCACAGCAAGGAUGCAUCUGAUAACUACAGGCGUUGCAUCUGAAAGUGUAACCUUUUGCAGCCUUCCCACAAACGUCACACUUUGAUUUUAAAAUUCCACCUUUAACUGCUUUUGAAGAGAAUAAGAGUUGGUGAUGCAUGUGGAGAGGAUGGGCCUUGAGUUCUCGAGGAACCAAACCGCAGAACUCAUGUAACUGAAAAUCGCAUUGUAGGCAAGUGAACCUCGUGCCUGAGCCGUAUUCCUUGCAGCCUGCGCAGGUGAAGAGUUCGGGCAUGUCAACCUUAUACAAGCCAUGUUGGUGGUGAAGGGAAAGAAAUACUUCUUCUCCCAGGCCUAGGUGAGGAGAUGUUGGCAAUUCAAGCAUAGGACUUUUGGGAAGAUAUGCUUGUAGUUGAGGAGGAGGGUUUGGGAAUUGCAUUGAAGGAGAAUUUUUCAGGGGAAAUGAAGUCGUCUUCUUCAAUGGCCUGUUGUUCAUGAUGGCUUGGCUUGUGAGAAUGGCUAGCUAUGUGGAUUAGACUUGUUUCUAAUUGCACCACAGAAGGAGAAUAUUUAUUUUGCUGGAAAGUUGGGCACCAUCAACCAUGUGCAGGGCAUGAAGAAAAAGGAUGAUGC
rnacentral:misc_RNA from 1 species